UACAGAGGGUGCGAGCGUUAAUCGGAAUUACUGGGCGUAAAGGGCGCGUAGGCGGAUAAUUAAGUUAGAUGUGAAAUCCCUGGGCUUAACCUAGGAACUGCAUCUAAUACUGGUUAUCUAGAGUGCGGUAGAGGAUAGUGGAAUUUCCGGUGUAGCGGUGAAAUGCGUAGAUAUCGGAAGGAACACCAGUGGCGAAGGCGACUAUCUGGACUGACACUGACGCUGAGGCGCGAAAGCGUGGGGAUCAAAC
rnacentral:rRNA from 1 species